CCUUCAUGUAGUGAGCGCAAUCAAAACAAGUUAUCGUGAACUAUUUUUGUUGUGUCUUGAUUCUGGAUUUUCCUGUUCUUAUCUUGUUACUUCAUCAAGUUCCUUCAAAAUGAUGACCAAGUUAUUUAAGUUUCUGUCCCAUAGAACAAAAUUUGAGAUGAUUAGAAGAGGAUUGAUUAUUCCUCCUGGAGCCUGUGAGACACCAACCAAAACUGUCACAGACUUACUUGAUGACUUUACUCGAAGCGUGCUAGGAACCAAUAGUAAGUACUGUGCAGGGAGCAUAAGCCGAGAGCACCUUGUGAAAUACUUACCGGCUACUCAAGAAGAGCUUCCAGUACGGAGAAUGAGUGACAGCUAUGAUACUGCCAUCAUCCCCUUGGGAAGUGAUAUCUCCAUGCGUGAAAAGUACAUGACGUUUCACAAGACAAUCCGCAUCGGGCGGUUGCUAGAAGACCUUGACGUUUUUGCGGUGACGCUGUGUUACAAGCACAUUCUCAACCCAAACCAACCCGCCGACAUAUCCGUCAGCCCAUACAGCAUUGUAACAGCUUGCGUGGAUCAAAUGGAUAUAUCCCACGUUCCUCUUCGGUACGAUGCCGAUAUUCGUUUGAGAGGCCAUGUGACAUGGGUGGGCAAGUCGUCAUUCGAGGCUUCCAUGGAAGUUGAUCAAAUAGAUAAAGACUCAAACGAAUGGAAUACGGUCACAAACGCCAGGUUCGUCAUGGUCAGUCGGGAUUCAAUGAAUAAGGGAUCGGCCAUCGUGAAUAGGUUGGUUCCUGAAACGGACGAGGAAAAGGCGUUAUUUAGAAAAGGAGAAGAAAAUAAGGAAAGACGAGCUAAAAUGCAAACGACAUCCUUGUUCCGGAAGCCUCCAAGUGAGCAAGAAAGAUUGAUCAUCCACGAACAGUUUCUCCGCACGAUCGAUUGGAAAAGCAUGUCCUUCAAGAGCCGGAUCAAACCCACCAAUUGCGUCUGGAUGGCGGAUGCUAAACUAAAGAAUAUGAUUCUCUGUCAGCCAGAGAAUCGUAAUCGGUUCAACAAAAUUUUCGGCGGUUUCCUGAUGCGACUGGCCGUGGAAUUGGCGUGGGCAAACGGCUACGUCUACUGUAAGAGCUUGCCUACUCUGGUCCACGUUGAUGACAUCCUCUUCCGUAAACCGGUGGAGAUAGGCUCACUCUUGUACUUUAGUUCCCAGGUGGUCUACACUCAAGGCCAUUACGUGAUGGUGCGGGUGUCGGCCGAAGUUGUUCAGCCAGAGGACGGAACACACGACCUGACUAACGUAUUUCAUUUCACUCUGAAGACAGACAGUCUGGCACCUGAAGUCAUUCCGCGAACCUAUCAAGAGGCCAUGAUGUUCCUCGACGGAAGACGACACUUUAUAGACACGGAGCACGACCUAUCCGAUCCACCGGUAGCCAAACUCUAAUCCGCACAUCGAAAAUUAGGAAAAGCAAAUCACAAAGUAUCCUCUUUCAUCCGGCCCAGUAUUACCUGUUGAAAAUGAGAAAUAACCAAUUUCACAAUAAUUAACGACUAAGAAUUUCAAAAAGGUUUCAAAUUUCUAACCUGCAGCAAUAUCCGGAAAUAUGGAAGCUGCCGAUAGUAAAUAGUAGUGGAAGUCCAAGAGAGAAAGAGCCCUGGAUGGACUCUGUCUUUUACUUGUUCGGUAUUUGACCCGGGCUCCGAGUAUGGUCGACCACCCGCCGCAGAGACUUCCUUUUCUCCUUCUUUUUCUUCUUCUCUAGAUAGAUAUUCAUACAUAAAUACGUUUCUGUUGUGUGGCUCUUGCUUGAGAAUGUUGGUCCCUUUUUUGGUUUGAAAACUAUUUAUAAAUUACCUGUCGAUAAAACAAAA
rnacentral:misc_RNA from 1 species